GGAGAGGAGGCUCCCACUGCAGAAGACCCUGAGGUUCCCGACUUCCAUGUUGGAGAGAUGGGCUGCUCAAGGGAUGGGAGACCCAAUCUUUGGCACUCGAAGUUCAACAGGGCUCUAAGCACAUCAGAUGGACCACAUAAGCCAGCUGCGUAGGCCCCUGUCCUGUCUGGCCUAGCUCAGCUGUCCACUCUGGUGGAAGUCCAUCUGUCUGAACAGCCAAUGGGUCAGCUGUCCAACCAGACCCUGCUCCCUGUCAGCUCUCCUAAAUCACUCACCUGCCGGCUUCUCCUUUUCCCUUCCCGGUGUUUCUCAUGAAACCAACUUGUGUUGGCUGCUUGGACUUGAAAUGAACUGAAAGCCAUCUUCCCAAAACCAGGCUUAUUGAUUUUGUUCACUUUCUUUUCUUAAAGUUGGGGUCUCACUCUGUAGCCCUGGCUGGUCUGAAACUCAAAGAGAGCCAUUUGCUCUGCCUCCUGAGUGCUGGGAUCAAAGGCAUGUGCCACCGCCCUUGGCCUUCAUUCACCUUUUUAUGGACACAGUUGGAUGAAGGGUGACACGGUGCAUACUUCUCUGCUGGAAUGAACCAGAACACCCACAGCACUGUAGUCAACCAUAUUCCUUCUCCCUGCUUCUCGGUGGCUAGGGGGAUGUUUUCCUUCUUGCAGUCCUACCUUUCUGCAGAUGAAUAGGAAUG
rnacentral:lncRNA from 1 species